AGGGAGGAGCCCAGCGCCGAAUCCCCGAUCUUCGGUCGUGGGAAAUGUGGCGUUUAGGAGUGAGCGUGCCGGGUUCGGAAGCGGCGGCAAGUCCCCCUGACCGGGGCCUGUCCAUAGCGGGUGCGAGGCCCAUAGCCGCUGCCUCCGUCUCGGAUGCGAUCUCCUUGGAGUCGGGUUGCUUGGGAGUGCAGCCCUAAUCGGGUGGUAAACUCCACCUAAGGCUAAAUACCGCCGUGAGACCGAUAGCAAACAAGUACCGUGAGGGAAAGUUGCAAAGAACUUUGAAGAGAGAGUUCAAGAGUACGUGAAACUGCUCAGAGGUAAACGGGUGGGCCCUCGAAAUCCUGUGGCGAGAGGAUUCAGUCUGGGUGGGCGGACUCGGAGGUGGAAAUCGGCAGGACUUCCCGGGACCGGGGUCGUCUGCCUCCGUGCCUUCCGUCUUGCCAGACGCAUUUGUCUCUCGUCCGAAGGACGCUGCAGCCGGUCUGGAAGUGCAAACGUGACGGCCUGAAGGUCGGGAAAUGGCAGGUGGCCGGUGGCUCGCCUCGUGCGGGUCGUCGGUUGUUAGCCGUCUCGUCAGUGGCUCGUCUCCAGACCGUGGUGUCGCGAGUCCCGUCAGGGACUCCACGUCUCCACCCCAGAGUCGCGGGACAGACCGUGGCAAGGGUGUCUCGUCCAUUUGUCGCACGCCCCACGCGUGGACCUAGAAACGAGACGCCCCGUUCGCUGCGGCGGGCCCGUUGGGGACAGGAGGCUGGCAGCGAGUAGGUCGGUCACCCACCCGACCCGUCUUGAAACACGGACCAAGGAGUCUAACAUGUGCGCGAGUCAAUGGGUCUUGAACAGGCCCAGGGGCGCAAUGAAAGCGAAGGUCGGCCUAGCGUCGGCUGAGCGGGGAUCCCUCUCUCUCGGGAGGGGGCGCACCCGCGACCCGUCCUGUGCUGCUCGCAGCUUGGGCGGAGUUUGAGCGUACACGUUGGG
rnacentral:rRNA from 1 species